GUUCAGUUUGGCAAUGUGGGUCUCCCACCUUAAUGACUUUUGAUUUUUUUAAAAUGGUGAAAACAUGUAUUUUUAGAAUCGGUCACUUGGAACCAGUUUAGAUGGUCCCAGUUUUGUUGACAACACUGAAAGUAUCAUAAGCAGGCGCUAACUGUCCAAGACCUCCUUCUUCCACCAGGUCUGCCCAGGGUGUUGCCCUUGGUGGCAUCAGUGUCGCAGAGCUGCUUUCACAGCCUGUUGGAUCUGGUGCGUGUCACUCUCGAUGUCCAAGGGCGCUGUCUUGUGUCUUCUCUCACAGCAGAUUUAGUGGUCGGGAAAUUUGAUGUGGUGGUUAGACGCCUUUCUCCUGGGGAUCCUCUUCUGACAGAAUCUGGGCUGCCUGCAGAGCCACAGGGUGAAUUUGGGGUCCCUAGAAGUACAGGGAGAAGCUUCCUAUGGAGUUCUUUUAUCUGCCUAUUUGGAUCUUCCAAAGAGGAACACCACUGAAAUUUCUCUAAUCAGAAGAGGCUAAACUCAUCGGAGAAAGACUGAAACCUGUGGGUACAUCUGGAAACACAUGCAGACUGAGCUGCAUUAUAGACCAUUGUCCUCCAUUUUGGUUCCACUUAGCAUUCCAAAGCAAAUUACUUUUUUUUACCUUUGACUGUUCUGCAGGCUUUCCAGACUCUGUCCCUGGCUUUGUUUUAUGUCCUCAAAGUUUAGUGAAUUCCCCAGAAAGUCAUUCACUAUUCCCCGCUUUCCCUUGCUUUUUUUUUGGAAGCAAGAUAUCAUUAUGUAGUUCAAGCUGGCUUGAACAGUCCAGGCUGGCCUCGAACUCAUGGUGAUCCUCCUGCCUUGGCCCCCUGAGUGCUGGGAUUACAGGUAUGUGUCAUCACAUCACUAUCCCUUAAUAAUGGCCCUUCCUGUUCCUUAUUGAAGAGGGUAUUUAAGCUCAAUGAUCUAAUCUUUCCUUUGAGUCUCACCUUUGUUUGACUCCUGUGUUGUGAUUUUUCCUGGCAUGACAAUAAAUUUCUGUGUCUUUCUCCAGU
rnacentral:lncRNA from 1 species